rnacentral:rRNA from 1 species
UUCCGGUUGAUCCUGCCGGACCUGACUGCUAUCGGAUUGAUACUAAGCCAUGCGAGUCAUUGUAGCAAUACAAGGCAUACGGCUCAGUAACGCGUAGUCAACCUAACCUAUGGACGGGAAUAACCUCGGGAAACUGAGAAUAAUGCCCGAUAGAACACUAUACCUGGAAUGGUUUGUGUUCCAAAUGAUUUAUCGCCGUAGGAUGGGACUGCGGCCUAUCAGUUUGUUGGUGAGGUAAUGGCCCACCAAGACUAUUACAGGUACGGGCUCUGAGAGGAGUAGCCCGGAGAUGGGUACUGAGACACGGACCUAGGCCCUAUGGGGCGCAGCAGGCGAGAAAACUUUGCAAUGUGCGAAAGCACGACAAGGUUAAUCCGAGUGGUUUCUGCUAAAGGAACCUUUUGUCGGUCCUAGAAACACCGAUGAAUAAGGGGUGGGCAAGUUCUGGUGUCAGCCGCCGCGGUAAAACCAGCACCUCAAGUGGUCAGGAUGAUUAUUGGGCCUAAAGCAUCCGUAGCCGGCUCUGUAAGUUUUCGGUUAAAUCUGUACGCUCAACGUACAGGCUGCCGGGAAUACUGCAGAGCUAGGGAGUGGGAGAGGUAGACGGUACUCGGUAGGAAGGGGUAAAAUCCUUUGAUCUAUUGAUGACCACCUGUGGCGAAGGCGGUCUACCAGAACACGUCCGACGGUGAGGGAUGAAAGCUGGGGGAGCAAACCGGAUUAGAUACCCGGGUAGUCCCAGCUGUAAACUAUGCAAACUCAGUGAUGCAUUGACUUGUGGUCAAUGCAGUGCUGCAGGAAGCCGUUAAGUUUGCCGCCUGGGAAGUACGUACGCAAGUAUGAAACUUAAGGAAUUGGCGGGGGAGCACCACAAGGGGUGAAGCCUGCGGUUCAAUUGGAUUCAACGCCGGA